AGUACGGCGAGUGAAGCGGCAAAAGCUCAAAUUUGAAAUCUGGUACCUUCGGUGCCCGAGUUGUAAUUUGGAGAGGGCAACUUUGGGGCCGUUCCUUGUCUAUGUUCCUUGGAACAGGACGUCAUAGAGGGUGAGAAUCCCGUGUGGCGAGGAGUGCGGUUCUUUGUAAAGUGCCUUCGAAGAGUCGAGUUGUUUGGGAAUGCAGCUCUAAGUGGGUGGUAAAUUCCAUCUAAAGCUAAAUAUUGGCGAGAGACCGAUAGCGAACAAGUACAGUGAUGGAAAGAUGAAAAGAACUUUGAAAAGAGAGUGAAAAAGUACGUGAAAUUGUUGAAAGGGAAGGGCAUUUGAUCAGACAUGGUGUUUUGUGCCCUCUGCUCCUUGUGGGUAGGGGAAUCUCGCAUUUCACUGGGCCAGCAUCAGUUUUGGUGGCAGGAUAAAUCCAUAGGAAUGUAGCUUGCCUCGGUAAGUAUUAUAGCCUGUGGGAAUACUGCCAGCUGGGACUGAGGACUGCGACGUAAGUCAAGGAUGCUGGCAUAAUGGUUAUAUGCCGCC
rnacentral:rRNA from 1 species